GUGAUCCGGUGGUUCCGCAUGGAAGGGCCAUCGCUCAACGGAUAAAAGCUACCCCGGGGAUAACAGGCUUAUCUCCCCCAAGAGUUCACAUCGACGGGGAGGUUUGGCACCUCGAUGUCGGCUCAUCGCAUCCUGGGGCUGUAGUCGGUCCCAAGGGUUGGGCUGUUCGCCCAUUAAAGCGGUACGCGAGCUGGGUUCAGAACGUCGUGAGACAGUUCGGUCCCUAUCCGUCGUGGGCGUAGGAAAUUUGAGAGGAGCUGUCCUUAGUACGAGAGGACCGGGAUGGACAUACCUCUGGUGUACCAGUUGUCGUGCCAACGGCAUAGCUGGGUAGCUAUGUGUGGACGGGAUAAGUGCUGAAAGCAUCUAAGCAUGAAGCCCCCCUCAAGAUGAGAUUUCCCAACUUCGGUUAUAAGAUCCCUCAAAGAUGAUGAGGUUAAUAGGUUCGAGGUGGAAGCAUGGUGACAUGUGGAGCUGACGAAUACUAAUCGAUCGAAGACUUAAUCAA
rnacentral:rRNA from 1 species